GGGGAAUAUUGGACAAUGGGGGAAACCCUGAUCCAGCAAUGCCGCGUGAGUGAUGAAGGCCUUAGGGUUGUAAAGCUCUUUUACCAGGGAUGAUAAUGACAGUACCUGGAGAAUAAGCUCCGGCUAACUCCGUGCCAGCAGCCGCGGUAAUACGGAGGGAGCCAGCGUUGUUCGGAAUUACUGGGCGUAAAGCGCGCGUAGGCGGCUAUUUAAGUCAGAGGUGAAAUCCCGGGGCUCAACCCCGGAACUGCCUUUGAAACUAGAUGGCUAGAAUCCUGGAGAGGCGAGUGGAAUUCCGAGUGUAGAGGUGAAAUUCGUAGAUAUUCGGAAGAACACCAGUGGCGAAGGCGACUCGCUGGACAGGUAUUGACGCUGAGGUGCGAAAGCGUGGGGAGCAAAC
rnacentral:rRNA from 1 species